UAGGGAAUCUUCCACAAUGGACGCAAGUCUGAUGGAGCAACGCCGCGUGAGUGAAGAAGGUUUUCGGACCGUAAAGCUCUGUUGUUGGUGAAGAAGGAUAGAGGUAGUAACUGGCCUUUAUUUGACGGUAAUCAACCAGAAAGUCACGGCUAACUACGUGCCAGCAGCCGCGGUAAUACGUAGGUGGCAAGCGUUGUCCGGAUUUAUUGGGCGUAAAGCGAGCGCAGGCGGAAGAAUAAGUCUGAUGUGAAAGCCCUCGGCUUAACCGAGGAAUUGCAUCGGAAACUGUUUUCUUGAGUGCAGAAGAGGAGAGUAGAACUCCAUGUGUAGCGGUGGAAUGCGUAGAUAUAUGGAAGAAUACCAGUGGCGAAGGCGGCUCUCUGGUCUGCAACUGACGCUGAGGCUCGAAAGGCAUGGGUAGCGAACAGGAUUAGAUACCCUGGUAGUCCAUGCCGUAAACGAUGAGUGCUAAGUGUUGGGAGGCUUCCGCCUCUCAGUGCUGCAGCUAACGCAUUAAGCACUCCGCCUGGGGGAGUACGACCGCAAGGUUGAAAC
rnacentral:rRNA from 1 species